AUCCUCUUCCUCUUCCUCUUAUCCUCUUCCUCUCGGUUCAUCUGCUCUGCUGCUACUCCGCCACCUACAACUUGGCUAUUAAACUCUGGAGCCCUCCUCUUCCUCUUAUCCUCUUCCUCUCGGUUCAUCUGCUCUGCUGCUACUCUGCUACUCCGCCACCGACCCGUGCUUCCUCCCUCUUCGUCUUCUCCUCCAGCAAUUUGCGCCCUUAGUUCUCAAUAUGAUUCACAGUAAAAACCCAGAAACUUAGAGAGUAAAAAUGUUGAAACUUAAAGAUCUUACCCCGCAGUGCUCAAUCUAGAGAAUUGGUACUCAUAAUCAAUAAGAUUCGUACGGCUUAUUGGUAUCAAUUUUGGUUGCAGCAAUGCUAUUCUUGCUGAAGACCUGCCAUAAAUUCAAAGCGCGCAGAGAUCUCGAGUCAAAAACAGAGCAACUCUUGCACAGCGAAAUGACUCCCACCACCCAACAAACGCAACUGCUGCAAUUUCAAUUGCAGUUCUUGAAGAAAGAAUUGCAGACGGUUUGAAUUUUGGAUGGAGUUUAGAAUAUUUGUAAGUUGGUUCUGUUGUGGGAUCUCCAUGUAGCAAAUUUAUCCUACUUUGUAUUUCUAAAAUCGUAGGUUAGUUUGUCUAUUGUAGCUAUAUAAUUCUUCCAUGUUUUUCAGAUCAUGGAGUGAGUUUCUCAUGCUGAGAUUGUAACCCAAUCAAUAAGUAAGUGAAACACAGAAGUUCUAUA